rnacentral:rRNA from 1 species
CGGCGGACGGGUGAGUAACACGUGGAUAACCUACCUAUAAGACUGGGAUAACUUCGGGAAACCGGAGCUAAUACCGGAUAAUAUAUUGAACCGCAUGGUUCAAUAGUGAAAGACGGUUUUGCUGUCACUUAUAGAUGGAUCCGCGCCGCAUUAGCUAGUUGGUAAGGUAACGGCUUACCAAGGCAACGAUGCGUAGCCGACCUGAGAGGGUGAUCGGCCACACUGGAACUGAGGCACGGUCCAG